CUAUAACUGCUAAGAGGGAGAGGUAGAAUUUGAAUUAAUGUUGGAUUCUAAACCUGGUUCUCAUUAACUUAUCUACUUAGCAAUUCUUCCUUGGACAUUUACUAUGUCUGGUGCUAUGGAGUGGGAGUAGGUAUCAUCAGGCUAACAAUUGAGAUUUUGGGAAGAUCAUCCAGGAUUCUCCAAGUGGGCCUGACAGGAUCACACGAGUCUAUAACAGAGAGGCAGAAGGUCAAAAGGAGGCGAAGAUGAUAUGUAGCUGGCUUUGAAGACGGGAGAAGGACUCACAAGUAGCCACUAGAGGCUGACGAAGUCUAGCCCCUCAAGACUCAUUUUGAACUUCUGACCUCCAGAAAUGUAAGAGAAUAAAUGUGUGAUAUGUUAAGGUGUUGAAUUUGCAAUGAUUUUUUGUAUACAAAAAUAGAAAAAUAUGCUUAUGUGUGUGUGUUCAUAAUCUGUCCUCUUUUGUUGGAAUAAGAACUCCUGAGGUCUGGGGCUUUUUCUAUCAUGUUAACUGUUGUAACCUGAGUGCCUAGAACAGAGCCUGGUACUAGAAUAUUUGUUACAUGAAUGCAGAGGGAUGAAGGGGGACCAGCACAUGUGAGGCUUGAAAGGCCUGAAAUGUCAGUGCACUGGGCCACUUUUGGGGGCUAAAACUGGAAAGUGGUGGGCAGUGGGAGGUGCUGGAGGGAGUUGAUGCUGGGACACUUUAUGCUUUAAUCUGCAAGUAAGGAAUUGUUGCUAGCAGAAGGACAUGAUCAUAUUUGCUUGUUAUUUUAAAAGUCAUUUAAAAAUAAUUUUCCUGUUCAGUAUUAAAAAUUGAGAUAUUCAGAAACAAAGGCAAAAAUCUUAAAGUCAUUCAAUCUCAUUUUCUAGAGUUAGCCAGUUAAUAUUUUGGCAUGUAUUUCUCCCUUUGAAGUUGAGAUUAUUCUUUAUAUACUUUCUGAAACUGCCAUUUGUUCCCUUAAUGUGAAUUUCUCCAUGCCAUUAAAUAUUCCCCUAAAAAUGUGGUGCUUAUUGAAUACAUAGAAUCAUUUCAUACAACCUUAACUAUGUUUAUUUAAUCAAUUC
rnacentral:lncRNA from 1 species